AGAACGAACGCUGGCGGCGUGCUUAACACAUGCAAGUCGAACGGGUAGUUUCCUUCGGGAAGCGAAAGUGGCGCACGGGUGAGUAACGCGUGUACAACCUGUCCAGAUGUCCGGAACAGCCCUCCGAAAGGGGGAUUAAUACCGGAUGAGCCGCGCAGCCGGAAGGCUGCGCGGGAAAGGUGGCCUCUAUUUAUAAGCUGCCGCAUUUGGAGGGGUCUGCGUGCCAUUAGCUUGUUGGGGAGGUAACGGCUCACCAAGGCGACGAUGGCUAGCGGGUCUGAGAGGAUGAUCCGCCACACUGGCACUGAAACACGGGCCAGACUCCUACGGGAGGCAGCAGUGAGGAAUAUUGCGCAAUGGGGGAAACCCUGACGCAGCGACGCCGCGUGGGUGACGAAGGCCUUCGGGUCGUAAAACCCUGUCGGGAGGAAAGAAAUGCGUCCAAGCCAACACCUUGGGCGUUUGACGGUACCUCCAAAGGAAGCACCGGCUAACUCUGUGCCAGCAGCCGCGGUAAUACAGAGGGUGCAAGCGUUGUUCGGAAUUACUGGGCGUAAAGGGCGUGCAGGCGGCUUGUCAAGUCAGAUGUGAAAGCCCACGGCUCAACUGUGGAAGAGCAUUUGAAACUGGCAGGCUUGAGUACCAGAGGGGAAAGUGGAAUUCCCGGCGUAGAGGUGAAAUUCGUAGAUAUCGGGAGGAAUACCGGUGGCGAAGGCGACUUUCUGGCUGGAUACUGACGCUGAGACGCGAAAGCGCGGGGAGCAAACAGAAUUAGAUACCCUGGUAGUCCACGCCCUAAACGAUGAAUGUUAGUCGUCGGAUAGCUAGUCUAUUCGGUGAUGCAGCUAACGCAUUAAACAUUCCGCCUGGGGAGUACGGUCGCAAGGUUAAAACUCAAAGGAAUUGACGGGGGCCCGCACAAGCGGUGGAGUAUGUGGUUUAAUUCGAUGCAACGCGAAGAACCUUACCUGGUCUUGACAUCCCGGGAAUUCCCUUGAAAGGGGGAAGUGCCUCGCAAGAGGAGCUUGGAGACAGGUGCUGCAUGGCUGUCGUCAGCUCGUGUCGUGAGAUGUUGGGUUAAGUCCCGCAACGAGCGCAACCCCCGCCGUCAGUUGCCAGCAUUCAGUUGGGCACUCUGACGGGACCGCCGGCGUCAAGCCGGAGGAAGGCGGGGAUGACGUCAAGUCCUCAUGGCCUUUAUGACCAGGGCUACACACGUACUACAAUGGCCGGUACAGAGGGCUGCGACACCGCGAGGUGAAGCCAAUCCCUAAAAGCCGGUCUCAGUCCGGAUCGGAGCCUGCAACUCGGCUCCGUGACGUUGGAAUCGCUAGUAAUCGCGGAUCAGCACGCCGCGGUGAAUACGUUCCCGGGCCUUGUACACACCGCCUGUCACACCACGGGAGUCGAUUGCACCAGAAGCAGCUGGGCGAACCUUCGGGACGCAGGCUGCCAAGGUAUGGUCGGUGACUGGGG
rnacentral:rRNA from 1 species